UACGUAGGCAGCAAGCGUUGUUCGGAAUUACUGGGCGUAAAGAGUGUGUAGGCGGUGCUCUAAGUUCGGUGUGAAAUCUCCCGGCUUAACUGGGAGGGUGCGCCGGAAACUGGAGUGCUUGAGCGCGGGAGAGGAAAGCGGAAUUCCUGGUGUAGCGGUGAAAUGCGUAGAUAUCAGGAGGAACACCUGUGGUGUAGACGGCUUUCUGGACCGUAUCUGACGCUGAGACACGAAAGCGUGGGUAGCAAACAGG
rnacentral:rRNA from 1 species